UACGGAGGGUGCAAGCGUUAUCCGGAUUCACUGGGUUUAAAGGGUGCGUAGGUGGGUCGGUAAGUCAGUGGUGAAAUCUCCAGGCUUAACUUGGAAACUGCCAUUGAUACUAUCAAUCUUGAAUACCGUGGAGGUCAGCGGAAUAUGUCAUGUAGCGGUGAAAUGCUUAGAUAUGACAUAGAACACCAAUUGCGAAGGCAGCUGGCUACACGAAUAUUGACACUGAUGCACGAAAGCGUGGGGAUCAAACAGG
rnacentral:rRNA from 1 species